UACCAGCACCCCGAGUGGUCGGGACGAUUAUUGGGCCUAAAGCAUCCGUAGCCGGUUUUACAAGUCCUCCGUUAAAUCCAACUGCUUAACAGGUGGGCCGCGGAGGAUACUAUAGAGCUAGGAGGCGGGAGAGGCAAGCGGUACUUAGUGGGUAAGGGUAAAAUCCGUUGAUCCAUUGAAGACCACCAGUGGCGAAGGCGGCUUGCCAGAACGCACUCGACGGUGAGGGAUGAAAGCUGGGGGAGCAAACCGG
rnacentral:rRNA from 1 species